GGCGUUGAAAAGCCCCGGGAUGACUUGUGGAUAGGGGUGAAAGGCCAAUCAAACUUCGUGAUAGCUGGUUCUCUCCGAAAUAUAUUUAGGUAUAGCGUUGUGUCGUAAUAUAAGGGGGUAGAGCACUGAAUGGGCUAGGGCAUACACCAAUGUACCAAACCCUAUCAAACUCCGAAUACCUUAUAUGUAAUCACAGCAGUCAGGCGGCGAGUGAUAAAAUCCGUCGUCAAGAGGGAAACAACCCAGACUACCAGCUAAGGUCCCUAAGUCUUACUUAAGUGGAAAACGAUGUGAAGUUACUUAAACAACCAGGAGGUUGGCUUAGAAGCAGCCAUCCUUUAAAGAAAGCGUAAUAGCUCACUGGUCUAGUGAUUUUGCGCGGAAAAUAUAACGGGGCUAAAGUAAGUACCGAAGCUGUAGACUUAGUUUACUAAGUGGUAGGAGAGCGUUCUAUUUGCGUCGAAGGUAUACCGGUAAGGAGUGCUGGAGCGAAUAGAAGUGAGCAUGCAGGCAUGAGUAGCGAUAAUUAAUGUGAGAAUCAUUAACGCCGUAAACCCAAGGUUUCCUACGCGAUGCUCGUCAUCGUAGGGUUAGUCGGGUCCUAAGUCGAGUCCGAAAGGGGUAGACGAUGGCAAAUUGGUUAAUAUUCCAAUACCAACAUUAGUGUGCGAUGGAAGGACGCUUAGGGCUAAGGGGGCUAGCGGAUGGAAGUGCUAGUCUAAGGUCGUAGGAGGUUAUACAGGCAAAUCCGUAUAACAAUACUCCGAGAACUGAAAGGCUUUUUGAAGUCUUCGGAUGGAUAGAAGAACCCCUGAUGCCGUCGAGCCAAGAAAAGUUUCUAAGUUUAGCUAAUGUUGCCCGUACCGUAAACCGACACAGGUGGGUGGGAUGAGUAUUCUAAGGCGCGUGGAAGAACUCUCUUUAAGGAACUCUGCAAAAUAGCACCGUAUCUUCGGUAUAAGGUGUGGUUAGCUUUGUAUUAGGAUUUACUCCGAAAGCAAGGAAACUUACAACAAAGAGUCCCUCCCGACUGUUUACCAAAAACACAGCACUCUGCUAACUCGUAAGAGGAUGUAUAGGGUGUGACGCCUGCCCGGUGCUCGAAGGUUAAUUGAUGGGGUUAGCAUUAGCGAAGCUCUUGAUCGAAGCCCGAGUAAACGGCGGCCGUAACUAUAACGGUCCUAAGGUAGCGAAAUUCCUUGUCGGUUAAAUACCGACCUGCAUGAAUGGCGUAACGAGAUGGGAGCUGUCUCAAAGAGGGAUCCAGUGAAAUUGUAGUGGAGGUGAAAAUUCCUCCUACCCGCGGCAAGACGGAAAGACCCCGUGGACCUUUACUACAGCUUGACACUGCUACUUGGAUAAGAAUGUGCAGGAUAGGUGGGAGGCUUUGAGUAUAUGACGCCAGUUGUAUAUGAGCCAUUGUUGAGAUACCACUCUUUCUUAUUUGGGUAGCUAACCAGCUUGAGUUAUCCUCAAGUGGGACAAUGUCUGGUGGGUAGUUUGACUGGGGCGGUCGCCUCCCAAAUAAUAACGGAGGCUUACAAAGGUUGGCUCAGAACGGUUGGAAAUCGUUCGUAGAGUAUAAAGGUAUAAGCCAGCUUAACUGCAAGACAUACAAGUCAAGCAGAGACGAAAGUCGGUCUUAGUGAUCCGGUGGUUCUGUGUGGAAGGGCCAUCGCUCAAAGGAUAAAAGGUACCCCGGGGAUAACAGGCUGAUCUCCCCCAAGAGCUCACAUCGACGGGGAGGUUUGGCACCUCGAUGUCGGCUCAUCGCAUCCUGGGGCUGGAGCAGGUCCCAAGGGUAUGGCUGUUCGCCAUUUAAAGCGGUACGCGAGCUGGGUUCAGAACGUCGUGAGACAGUUCGGUCCCUAUCUGCCGUGGGCGUAAGAAGAUUGAAGAGAUUUGACCCUAGUACGAGAGGACCGGGUUGAACAAACCACUGGUGUAGCUGUUGUUCUGCCAAGAGCAUCGCAGCGUAGCUAAGUUUGGAAAGGAUAAACGCUGAAAGCAUCUAAGCGUGAAGCCAACUCUAAGAUGAAUCUUCUCUAAGCUCUCUAGAAGACUACUAGUUUGAUAGGCUGGGUGUGUAAUGGAUGAAAGUCCUUUAGCUGACCAGUACUAAUAGAGCGUUUGGCUUAUCUUUAAUAAAGCAU
rnacentral:rRNA from 1 species